rnacentral:rRNA from 1 species
GUCUAUGACCAUGCCAUCCUGAACAACCUCGAUGUCUAACCUCAGAAGCUAAGCAGGGUUGGGCUGGUUAGUACUUGAUCGGGAGACCACCUAGGAAGAUUGGGUGCUGUAGGCA